rnacentral:misc_RNA from 1 species
AGUCGAGGUCCGGAGACGGUGCGGUGAGGUGCGCGCCGGCCGCUGCGGUGAGGAUCGAGAGAUGUGUCGGCAGAGGUCGGUCCUGCCCGAUCGCAACUGAGGGAAGCGAAAGAUACCCGCCGUGUGGAUAACAUCGGACGAGAUGGCGCGGCACGCAGCCAAAGUCUGUAUUCUCCUCGCCAUUGCGACUCUCCCGCUCGCCACCACUGCUACAAACUCGGCGCGUCGGGUUGACGGGUGGACAGAGUGGAGCGACUGGGGUCCCUGCAGCCAGCCCUGUGACGGCGGCGUCACGCGGCAGACGCGCAUCUGCCACCGGGAGCACGGCUGUCCCGGCCUGGGCGUGCGCCGACAAAUGUGCAACAUGCAGGUCUGUGUGAACGCCACCGACCCUCGGGUGGCCCAGUGUGCCGCGUACGACCACCGUCGGCACAGCGACGGGCGUCGUUACCGCUGGGAGCCCUACCCCGACCUCACCGAGCCGUGUGCCCUCACCUGUCGAGCAAUCGGCACCGGCCUGGUGCGGCAGCUCUCGCCAAGGGUCAUCGAUGGAACCAGGUGCCGAGAUGGGAGUUUGGAUAUCUGCAUCGACGGAAAGUGUGAGCCUCUCGGGUGUGACCUACGUAUCGGCUCAAACCGCACAGUGGAUGUGUGCGGAGUGUGCGGCGGCGACGGAUCCAGCUGCAGCACGGCACACCACUUCUGGAAGGAGAAGGAGAUCGCACCCUGCUCGGCCACCUGCGGUGGAGGAUUUCAAGUGAUGCGGCCGGUGUGCACAAGUCGAACAACCGGUAUCGAGGUAUCGGAACAGUUCUGUGAUUUCCGUCUGCGACCUCGCGACCGUCUGAUGGAGUGUGCCCUGACGCCGUGCCAAGCCAGCUGGACCACUGACGAGUGGGGCCAAUGCAGCUCCUCCUGUGACGGAGGCCACAAACGACGCAAAGUCUGGUGCGCCGAAAUGGUCAACGGAACGCUGAUUCAGGUCUCUGAGGCACGCUGCAGUGGCAAUCGUCCCACCAGCCAGGAACCGUGCAACUUCGUCGCCUGUCCCAAAUGGUACCAGGGGCCCUGGUCGCAGUGUUCGGUGACCUGCGGGGACUCGGGUCAGCAGACUCGGGCAGUGUUCUGUCGGGACGCUCGCGGUCAUCUCAGCGAGGCCUGCGACCCGAAACUGAAGCCCCGGGGCCGCCAACCGUGCUCCAGUCUGAUGCCCUGCCCUCUCAGUCAGGUCAAGGACUCACACAGUGCACAUAUACCGUACCAGCUGCCGCUAUCGCACGCCCAGCCCGUGUUCCCGGCAGCAGUCGAGUCCAGCCAGCAGCUCACGCCCAGCACAGACCCCAAGUUCGUGGCGGACACGUGGGGUGAGUGCUCGGUGACCUGCGGUGAGGGACUGCGGCGGCGCAAGGUCGAGUGCAAGGUCUACCUGGAGUUCUCUCAGACCCUGGUCACGCUGCCUCCCAGAGAAUGUGGUAGCCACCCGCCGGCUGACCUAGAGCGCUGCAUUCUGCCGCCCUGCCUCGGGUUGAGGUCGGGAGACAGCUACCACCAGCCGUUCCGGCAGCAGCACCAGCAGCGGAGCAGCGACAAGACACCGCGUCACACCUACGACGCUUUAUACGACGUCAACGACCCGCCCGCGUUCGACCACUUCUCGAGCUCAGAGCUACCUCUCGGAGACACUGCCGUGCACUCUGACCCGUUCUCGAGCCCCGAGCACCACGGUCGACCCCACCUGGACCGCUUCUCGAGCCCUGAAAUCGACUCUCCGCGUGACGACUACCGAGACGGAGAUGACCUCUUCUCCAGUCCGGAGGUCAACCCUUUUGACGACGACUUCGGCAGUCCGGAGGACGUGCCCGGCCCGGACCCUCCUCUUCGCCACCAUCCGGACCGGUUCUCCAGUCCGGAGCGCCCGAUCGACUCGAUGGUCCGACUGAGGACGCACAUGUUCAACGGCGGGCGCACCUACCAGGACGUGGCCGGCUCGUUCGAGCUGCUCGGAGGGAUGCGGAAGGGCGGUAGAGGCGGUGCAGAUGAUGGGAGAGAACUGGAUAGCGGUGUGGUGGUUAUCCGACCCAAGGAGGCCCAGCCGCCGCCCGAACCGCCCGAGCAGGCCAGGUUCGUCUGGAAGAAGGCGGGGUUCACUCCGUGCAGCUCCUCCUGCCUCGGUGGCGUGCAGGAGUCUCUGGUGCAGUGCGUGCGCGUCUCGGACGGACUGGAAGUCAGCCCCUUCCAGUGCAGUCUGGACACCCGUCCUGACAGCAUCACACGCACCUGUAACGACCAGCCCUGUCCGCCACGGUGGAACGUCACGGAAUUCUCCGCCUGCUCGCGGCGCUGCGGAAAAGGUACGCAGACCCGUGAGGUGAGCUGUAUCCAUGAGCUGGCGCGGGGCGAGGGCAACACCCUGACAGUGGCUGACUCGGAGUGUGCCGCCCCGCGACCGGCCGACAACCAGCUGUGCAACAUGGUCACCUGCCCGCCGCGCUGGCAGCCCGAGCCCUGGAGCGAGUGCUCUCGAUCGUGUGGCGGCGGCAUCAAGACUCGCAAGCUGCGCUGUCAGCAGCGAAUGUCCGACGGCAGCGUGGUAGACAAGGCGCCCUCCAUGUGCGGCUCCAAGAGCCCACCGCACAAGAGGCCGUGCAACACGAGAAAGUGCCGCGGUCCGCAGAUCAUCGCCUCUAACCAGUCCUAUGAACAAGAGACGCCUCAGCGGCGGGUCACGCUGAAGAUCGGCGGCUCGGCCGUCGUCUUCGACGGCACCACGGUCCAGCUCAAGUGUCCGGUCCGACACUUCGACAGGUCAAAGAUCGUGUGGACCAAAGACGGUGACCGUAUGACGGGAGGCCGUAAAUACCGCCUCAAGGCGAACGGUCAGGUCAGAGUUCGACACGUCGAGUAUCAUGACGCUGGACGGUACACCUGCAUCGCGGGAGGGGUGACCGCCUCUUUGAACCUGUCGAUUCGACCGAGUCCUUUCGACGAGCCACAGUGGGUCAAAGAGAGGCGACUCAGGAGACAGAAGAAGAAAAAACUCCGAGAGGAGAGGCGGCGGAAGAAACAGCGCAAACUCGAACAGAAACUCGCCGAGGCAGCGGCCGCCGCGCCGCAGUACCCGACUCAUCGAAGAACGGAGAUGGAGCUGUCCAACACCAUUGAGCAGGUGUCCGAGGGGGGACAGCACCACUCCGGGCCGAUACUCCCGAGCGGCGAAUCACCCGACUCUAUGAACGACGUGCGCGUCAAGUUCGUCUCAGACCAGCAGGCCUCGGACAGCGACCAGCCUAAGGGUCUGGUGCUGGGCAGCGGCAGGAGCCGACAGCGCUCACGCUGGAGCAGAAAAUCGACCACCACCACGAGCACCACUCCUGGCACCACGCAAAGCACCACCACCACCACCGCUGGGGCCUCCUCAUCCGCCGCUUUCGACACAGUCUCUGACGCCCCCGCCGACACCGAAGGCGACGGUGCUGCCACCGUGCGGGAGCAGGACAGUACAGAUGGCGCUGUGGUCGCCGCCCCGGCGCCCAUGGCGGAAGGACCGGAGGGCACGGGUGGGACCGGGGAGGCGACAGAUUCCUCGCACGGCCUGGACGAGGGGGUGAUCGAGGUCCUCGGUAAAGGCGACCCGUCCGAGGUGCGUUUCGAGUGGCUCAUCACCGACUGGUCUCCGUGCUCUCGAACCUGCGGCGGUAGCGGCUACGAGCUGCGGGCCACCCAGUGCCUGGUCAAGCUGAACAACACGACUCGUACCGUGUCGGCCGCGCUCUGCGAGGACAAAGGUCUGCCCAGCCCGCGCUCGGUGCGGCCAUGCGGCCAGAUGCCCUGUCCCAGCUGGCAUGUCGGCGAGUGGAGGUCGUGCCGCCGAUCGCGCUGCGUCCAGUGGAACUAUGCGAUGCAGAGACGGAAGAUCAGCUGCCGUCUCCCGAACGGUACGACGGUCCACCCGCGACUGUGCGACCGUCGCCAGCGGCCCGACGGCCGCCAGGAGUGCUACAACGACCGGUGUCGCGGCGUGUGGCGCGUCGAGCCGUGGUCCAAGUGUUCCGCGCGCUGCGGAUCGGCCGGUUACCAGACCCGCAUUCUGCGCUGCGUGUGGUCCGGCACCAAUAAACCGGCGGGCAACACGUGCCGCGACCAGCCCCGACCGCUGGUCUACAAGCCGUGUGUCGGCCCUACUUGCCCCCCGUGAGUCUCCCAGGGACCCUUCUGGCAGCAUAGCGCAUGAUGAACGCGAUGAUGGGAGUGGCUGUCGAGACCGCAAGAACUUCUGCUCGCGCGCCCGGCGGCUGUCGCUCUGCUCAAUGCAGGACAUCCGCAGCGACUGUUGCCGCACGUGUUUGGACGUCGGUUGAGACGCGGCUGCCACCUGUCGGCCGGACGGGGAACUAGCCGACGGCGCGGCGCCCCUCUCGGGCGCGGCCUGCCUGAUCUCAGCCGGCCCGCCGCCGCCGGCGCUGGCGCCGCUCGUGGCGCCGCUGCUGACGCCGCUGUUGGCGCACGGCGGCGGCUGACGCUCGGCAGUGGCGGGCGGGUCGGCGUCGGCCCUCUUCCCGGUGGGAACGACAGCGUGGCAGCCGUGAGCCGCGGACUCGUGUGGGAGCGUGUGAAAGUGCGUGACUAGGGCAGCUGGUCCUCUGCGGCCGAGGACCUCUCUUGUCGGCGGCCUGGCCCGCUCUCGUGAUACCAAUGGACUAUUAUUACCUUAUUUAUGUUAUGACGCGGUGUCCGAACCGCGCGGGCCGCCUCCUCAGUCUCAUUAAUGUGUAUCCCGCCGAGGGGCCGCACGUCGUGCGAGCUUUUCAGUGUUUGUGUACAUACAGGAUAGUUGGCUCGCGGACCGCGUGGUGGCAGCACCGUCUCUCCGCCAGGCGGCGCUCAUCCGCUUUAUUCCUGCCGCUUCGCCAGUGUAGGUCUUCCAGCCAACGGCGGCGCUUCGAAUGGGCGCCAGCUGAGAGGUCGGGGGACGCUGUUGUUGAGAGGAGUACCGUGUUGUGUCGCGCCGGUUGUGUGUAUUGUGAUGGCCUGGCCAGGGCUGGUGCGCAGGGCAGGGCGCUGACCGGUCGGAUGCUAGCCCUCGCUGUCAAGACAUUGUGCCAUACUUACUGUGUACCGGUUCGAUGUUAUUUUUCGAGUCGUGCGUUCGAACUGUUGAAUGGGUAGAAAUGCUUAUAAAUCGCAUCUACUAA